GCCCGGAUGGUCUAGUGGUAUGUUCAUUCUCUAUCAAUCAGUACCAAAUCCUUUUCUAACUAAAUUCAGGUAUGAUUCUCGCUUUGGGUUAACACUUAUCUGCGAGAGGCCCCGCGUUCAAAUCGCGGUUCGGGCC
rnacentral:tRNA from 1 species